rnacentral:lncRNA from 1 species
UAUUUUCUGCAAAUAUUCUAGUAAAAAUAAUCAUGUGAUAUUUUUAGGCUGGUGAUCAUUGUAGCAGCAUGGUAUGGGUGUAAAUAAGUAUCAAAUUAAAUGUAACCUUUUUUAUUUUGCUUUUCUUUUAACAAGUAAAAGAUGAUUUUUUCGAGAAGAUCCACUUUCAUUUUGUUCAAACAAAAAGGAAAGAUCCAUUUUAAACAAAAAUCAUACAUGAAGAGAAGUUGUGAUUUUCUAUUGUAAUAAGAUAUAGAUUUUGAAAAAAAAGUCUGGUAUAUAUCUCAAAUCUUCAUCAAUUUAUAUUUUAAUUUUGCAUACAAUUUUUUUAGUUUCCAUGUAACUUUUUUAUUCGUUUGAGUAAUAAUAUGGCAACAAAAAUUUAAUUCAGAUGACUAAUAACAAAGCAUUGAAAUUAAAUCAGUUAACUGGGCCUUGUGAGGCUUAGCCUGAAAUCCAUUUGGUAGGAGACUGAUGCCGGAGAGGACGCUGGCGUUGUCUACUCUUCGUCACGGAUACUCUCAUGCUUUGGUCUGGAAUCCGCAUCUUCGGUGUUCUUUUCCGACAUAGCUCUGCCUGUGAACCACGUGCUAGGCACGUGUCUGCUUUUUUUUUGUUAAUCCUAUCCCCUUUUAAUGGUUGCGGUUUUCUUCUUUUUUUUUUUAAUUUAUAAUAUUUCAUUAAUUUAGUCCCUUAAAAAGGGGAUCUCGAUGAAUGUUACAUUUCCGGUUAACCAGUGGAAACUAACCUAGGUUACGAAGAUCCAACAUACAAUAAUCAAGGCUUAACCACAGACCAAGUUCUUGGUUGCAGUUUUCAUUGCUCGCUCUGCCUUUAGUUCCGUGUUUUAGACCAAGUUCUGUUUUGGGUUUCGCCUUGUGGAUGUGUUAUUGCUGCGGCAGAAUCUACAGUCUUCUCUCUGAAGCCUUGUGGUUUUAGGUUGUGGUCUUAGAGUCGCAGUGGUUCUGGCUAGUUUCAGCUCUUCUCUUGGGAGGAGGUGACCUUUCUUAUGUCGGUAGAUGGCUGAGUUUGGUGUAGGAGGGUCAGCGAGUAAGAGUCGACUGGCGUCUCGUGCUUGUGUCUCUUAUCGGUUUUGGCCCCUAGGUUUGGUUGUGGCGGUUGCUUUUUCAACUCAGCUCCUCAUCUCUUUGGCAGCUGUCUCAUCUGGUUGCAUGGCUGGUGGAUCUUCGCUUUGUAGCAGGCCGGGUUUUCUUGAGCUCCUGUUUCUCAGUUGAUUCUGGCGAUUUCCUGUUUCUUUAGAGUGGCUGCUGGUUUUGCGUGGUUCAGCUGUUUGUAGACCCUUCAUCGUCCAAGUCUUUUCUAGUUUACUUUUGGUAAUCUUUUUUUUGGAAACUCUUUUUUUUUUUUGAAACACUAAUUUUGGUAAUUUUUACUAGUCCAAUUUGCUUACUUUUGUCUCCCGGCUAUCCUUCUGUGUCUGUCUCCCGGUAAUCUUUUAGCGCUUAGUUGUUGGUUCUUGUAAGAUUACUC